rnacentral:tRNA from 2 species
CAGCCCCGUGGUGAAUAUUCAUGUUGGAUUGCAAAUCCAGAGACGUAGACUAACAGUCUGCCGGGGCUUU